AAAUCUUCAUUCAUAGCAAACACAAUACUUUCAGAGCUUUUGUCCUCUUUUUAUUCUGGGUUAGCACUUUUUCAUCUUCAUCCUUAAAGCUUCUCCUAUGAAGGGUCCAUAAACCCUAGGAAAACUAGGUACAUAUAUGUGAUCAUUUCUAUUUCGCAUUCUUUCGAGACUCCAGGUACCUUCCUCUUUAAAUCUCUCUCUCUUUCAAUUUUUUGCUAUUCAAACAUUUCGCUUACUAUUGGUUCAAUAUUUAUUUUUUCACUUUGGUGUUGUUUUUGUUGUGUUCGAAUUCGGUUCAUGGAAAUCAUGAAUUCAAGAAAAGCUAGGUUCGUGUGAUUUGAAAAAAACCCCCAAAUGUGGCGAUGACAUGUUCGUGGUCGUGGAUACAUUUAUAGAAAAAAUUUGGAAUAUAUAAAUAAAGAAAAUUUAUCUCUGACCUUAAAAUUUCGCAUUACGUGUGCUGUGGAAUGAAAAUUUUGUGCAUAUUUAUUUGUUAAAUAGAUGAGAUCUUAUUGAAAUGUGCGAACAUUUAUGAGAAUAGUUAUAUAUAUAGAUGUAAAAAUUUAAAAGGUUAAGUAAAAUUUUAAGGUUAGAGGAUUAAUUUCAUUCUCUUUCACGUUUCCUUUUUUCUGAGAAUGACACAUGCAAUUUGCUUUAUUGAGAAUUUGCAAUUUCACCAAUGCGUGUUAAAAACAAUAAGCCAGGUACAAUUUGCUCUUUUGUGCCUCUCUUUAAAAACAAUUGUUCAUUUGUCUUUGUAUGCAUGACCAUGGAUCUCGUCAAAAAUGUCGUCUUUCCAUGAUCAUUUUUCAUAAAUCAAGGAUUAAAUUGACAAAAAGAGUUGUUAUAAAGGAAGAAGCGAGUUGAAGAACUUGGAUCCCUUUCUAAUGCUGGAUACAUCCCAGUAGAUGACCACUGGCAGAUGAAUAAUUCUCUCUAAAAUGCCAGCAUAAACAAACAACAAGGGAUUGCAGCUUUGGAUCAAUUUAUCAUCCAAUGACAAAAUGAUUGAACCUAAUUAUCAAGAACUUUUAAGUGAGGACAUACCAAAGAUGUCAGAGAUAUGCAGGGCUGUUUAUUGGCUGUGGACAUAUGGAGGUUACUCAGUAGAUCUAACCCCUAAAUCAGUUUCAGAGCUUUUAGCUGGGGACACAAAUGUUGCACUUAUAGAUGUUCGCA